UUUGAGUUGGGCACUCUAAACGAGACUGCCGGUAGGUCAAACCGGAGGAAGUGGGAUGACGUCAAGUCCUCAUGGCCUUUAUGACCAGGGCUACACACGUACUACAAUGGCCGGUACAAAGGGCAGCGACACAGCGAUGUGAAGCGAAUCCCGAAAAGCCGGUCUCAGUCCGGAUUGGAGUCUGCAACUCGACUCCAUGAAGUUGGAAUCGCUAGUAAUCGCGGAUCAGCACGCCGCGGUGAAUACGUUCCCGGGCCUU
rnacentral:rRNA from 1 species